rnacentral:rRNA from 1 species
CCUACGGGGGGCAGCAGUGAGGAAUAUUGGUCAAUGGGCGCGAGCCUGACCCAGCCAAGUAGCGUGAAGGAUGACUGCCCUACGGGUUGUAAACUUCUUUUAUAAAGGAAUAAAGUGAGGCACGUGUGCCUUCUUGUAUGUAUUUUAUGAAUAAGGAUCGGCUAACUCCGGGCCAGCAGCCGCGGUAAUACGGAGGAUCCGAGCGUUAUCCGGAUUUAUUGGGUUUAAAGGGAGCGGAGAUGGGUUGUUAAGUCAGUUGUGAAAGUUUGCGGCUCAACCGUAAAAUUGCAAUUGAUACUGGCAGCCUUGAGUACAGAUGAGGUAGGCGGAAUUCGUGGUGUAGCGGUGAAAUGCUUAGAGAUAACGAAGAACUCCGAUUGCGAAGGCAGCCUACUAGACUGCCACUGACAUUGAUGCGCGAAAGUGUGGGGAUCAAACAGGAUUAGAUACCCUAGUAGUC